UGAGGACACAGCAAGAAGGCAGCCACCAGCAAGUCAGGAAGAAAGCUCUCACCAGAAACCAAAUCAGUCCUGACCUUGGACUUCCAGCCUUCAGAACUGUGAGAAAUAAGUCUCUGUUGUGUAAGCCACCCAGCAUAUGGUAUUUUGUUUUGACAUCCUGAGAAGACUACAAUACCCCACGAAAUAUACCCUGCCAGGCAGAUUGGAUCAUCCCGUUUUCAAGAUGCAACAGCCGAGGCCCAGAGAAACCGAACGCUUUCCCCAAGUUCACAGAAGUAGUGGGGGCGGACUUAGAGACUCAGAGUCAGGUGACACGCCCGAGGGCAUGGUGCCACCAGGUGCCAGAGCCAUCAUCGUUGUGCUUCACCGCCUGAGCUUCCUCCAUCACACGGCACUGCAGGUACGAAAACUUUACAGCCACUUCAUUCAGAAUAGCCUCCACCUGGCUGUAACAGCAGAAAUAUCCACCAACAGUGGGAUAAAUAAAUGGAGGGACGCUCCCAUAACGCCAUAUGGUAAUGACAGUGGACAAGUUCGGCUACACGCAACACCAUGGGCCAUUCCCACAAACGAAGACGAACAAAAUAAGUGAGACACAGAAGAAUACACAGCACACUAUUCUACAUAGAGAAAGAUUAAAAAUAUAUCUGAAAAUAAACUCGUGUUAGAAAUGGGGGGGGGUGGCAACUUUGAGGGAGAAGGGACGGAAAGGAUGGGAGGAGCUGUGAUGGGCAGUCACCCAGGUGGCUGGAUGAUUCUGGAUGCCUUGAUCCAUUUACAGUUCAUCCUCUUCUGAUAAUGCAUUAAGCUGUAAGACUUAAGAUUUCUCCUUUUUUCUAUAUGCACGUUAGGCAUUCGUAAGUUUAUUUUAAAGGGCUGUUACAAUGGUGUGUGAUAAAGGCCAGUGUUGAGGGGGCUCAAAAUGCUGCCAGGGAGAGAGGAGAUAAAAGGAACUGGGGAUGGGGAAGAAGGGUGGAGACACAGGGCGGAGCUAUAAUGUGAUCCACAGCAAGUACAGAGGGGGUUUGAGGCUGUGUAGCCAGAGGCGUAUUUCUGGGCACCCUUGGCUCAGCAGGAAUUUUCCCCAUUCCUGCACGUGCAAAAUGAAUUCAAAUGUAUACGUUUUGCAACUUGCCUUUGUUUGGGGCUUUGUAAUUUACAGUUUGCAAGGUCAUGAUCCCUGCAAAGAUAAGAACUGUUAAUCCAGGCAUAAAGUGGGCCUUCAGCAAAUGUUUGCUUGAAUGAACACAAAACGCUCUGACCUUCAUUAACACCAUGAUUUCUCACAGGCAGUCUGCAGAUAAGCAGGGUAAGUGUUACUAGUUUCCUUACACAGGGGGAAACCAAGGCUCCUGGGAGUUAAGAGGCUUCUUACAAACGGGCCAAAGCCUGGAAGCAGGUUGAAUCCUGGCUUGCUGCCUUUGAGGCCUGUGCACUUGGACAGUGCUGGAAGCAAGAGCCAAUGCCCUCCUUCCAAGCAAGGCUCCCUCCCUAGUCUAGUUGUGAAAGCUAACAUGAGUCAAGCCCAUGUUAAGUCCCGCACAGGGCGGCGUAGUGCAAAGUCUUGCCUUCACCUGCAGCUGCAUUUUCUCUUUGGUUAUUGGUGACCUUUCACUACUCCGAAAGCAUGCAUACUCUCCCUGCUGAGGACACAGCAGAGAUGCAAUAAAUUAUCACAACAGCUCAUACAAAAUGAAAGUGGGCCAUACCCUUGAAUCUCUCUCUCCCUCUCUCUCUCUCUCUCUCUCUCUCUCACACACACACACACACACACACACACACACACACACACACACCCCAAGAAGCAGGAGGCCUGAAGGGAUAGCAGCCAGUCCCCUCGCAAGAACUGAGGGAUUUGCUGCCAGAGGAUGCCCAGGUAGAAGCUAAAUUGUGCUGUCCCUUGUGAGUGUCGCUUAGCAUAAUUAUAUCCCCAGAGAAUCCAGGCUUCCAGAUGGGCCUUAGAGCAUCGUUUACAUACAGUAUUUUAGGCCAAUAACAUGGUUCUAAUGAAGCAGGAAGGAAGAACAAGAAUAAUAAAAUUAAAAAGUCAAAUUUCCGUCCUUAAUCUCCAGGGCUGCAAAUAGGACGUGGCUGCGGCUCAGAGGCGGUGAGGGGGGUGGGGGUGGGGGGCAGAAAGAAGCCUGUUUCUUACAGAGUCCGUGACAGGGGUGAGCCUCAAUCCCAAUGCCUCUGAUCUGCAUCUCCUUGGAGUGGGAGAAGGUGCAGGGAGCCUAAAAAGACUCAGGGAGGGAGAUCCUGAGCUUGUCUGCCUGCUUCCACAUCCCUCUCCAACUUGGGGAGUCCCCAGAGAAUGUGGCCUUUAGCAGAUCCAUUUAUUUCAGGUUGAAGGAGUGGCGUCCGGGGACGUGUCCAGAAGUGCUUGGAGAGACCUCCAAGCAGAUGGGUCCUGCUCAACCACGUGUCCUGCCAACUGAGACCUGCCUUUCCUCUCGGGCUGCCGCUCAGUUUUUGGCCCGCCCCCAGUUCCAAUGCCUCUGGGAGACCAUUUCUCGCAUGUGUGCUCAUUCGUUUAUUCAAUGUCUGCUCUGAGAUGCACACCAAGGGUCCAAAGAGGGACACAACUGCCGCCCCUGCCCUCAGGGGGCUCACAGGCAGGCAGUUAAGAGCAGAGGAAGGUUCUCAGUGUGUGUGAGGUGCUUUGACAGAAAGCAGUUGUUAAUGAGUUAUUAAUGUGUAAUGUGUGUGCACGUGCUGGUGGGGCACAAUUAACACUUUCUUCCAGGUCCAGAGACCUCUGUGGGCCAGCCACAGCCAGCGCCACAGCCUGAAGUCCCACCUAGCCCCCAGGAAGGCACUGCUAUGCUCAUCCAUUGGCCCCUCUUCUCAACCAGACUCCCCGCCCAGCUAGGUUCCUGAAGUAUAUCCUUCAUCCCCACCCCAGCACAGAGCGAACUGAACGCACCCAUGACCUUGCUCAACUAUGCCGAGGCACCAGACAAGUCCUACAGCAGUGGCCUGAGGUGCACUAACACUCAUAACAGAAGACCAGGGCUUAGUCUUUUUUU